rnacentral:tRNA from 1 species
GCCCGGAUGGCGAAAUUGGUAGACGCGCUAGUUUCAGGGACUAGUACUCAUAUAGAGUGUGCAGGUUCGAGUCCUGUUCCGGGCA